rnacentral:rRNA from 1 species
UACCAGCUCUCCGAGUGGUGUGGAUGUUUAUUGGGCCUAAAGCAUCCGUAGCUGGCUGGACAAGUCCCCUGUUAAAUCCACCGAUUUAAUCGUUGGUGUGCGGGGGAUACUGUUCGGCUAGGGGACGGGAGAGGCAGACGGUAUUUUCGGGGUAGGGGUGAAAUCCUAUAAUCCCGGGAAGACCACCAGUGGCGAAGGCUGUCUGCUAGAACGCGCCCGACGGUGAGGGAUGAAAGCUGGGGGAGCGAACCGGAUUAGAUACCCGGGUAGUCCCAGCUGUAAACGAUGCAGGCUAGGUGUUUGGACGGCCACGUGCCGUUCUAGUGCCGCAGGGAAGCCGUUAAGCCUGCCGCCUGGGGAGUACGGCCGCAAGGCUGAAACUUAAAGGAAUUGGCAGGGGAGCACCACAAGGGGUGAAGCUUGCGGUUU